GCUAGGCAUGGUGGCACGUCCCUGUAGUCCUAGCUACUUAGGAGGCUGAGACAGGAGAAUCACUUGAACCCAGGAGUUUCGGGCUGCAGUGAGCUAUGAUUACACCACUGCACUCCAGCCUGGGUGACAGAAUGAGACCCUGUCUCAA
ensembl:misc_RNA Metazoa_SRP Metazoan signal recognition particle RNA